rnacentral:lncRNA from 1 species
AAGAAAGGGAAGAAAUACAAAGGAAGAGAGAAAGGCAACGAGAGAGAGGGAGAAAGUAGGGGUACAAAGCUAUGACGGAGAAGGGGAGAGAGAGGGUACAAUGCUCCCAUAUCGGUUGGGCUAGAGAGAGAGGAAGAUUGUGAAGCUAGAGAGAGAAAAAGUUGGCAAGGAGAGAGAAAGAUGGCGCGGAGAGAGAGGAAGCAAAGAUGCGGUGCGCGGUAGUCCACGCAAUUUGAAUAGAAAGAAAGUACUAAACUACCCCUACAUAUUGAAUGACAGACGGUGGCAAUUUUGUC